rnacentral:sRNA from 1 species
UCAUUCUAGCACAUUUCACUCAGUACCUGAAGUUAUUUUAUUUACUUUCUUAAUUUCCAUUUCUCCACUGUAGGGAAUGGUUUUUGGGAAAAGCAUUACAUGAUGAAGAAGCUACAAUAAUUCACCAUUAUGCCUUUUCCGAGAAUCCUACAGUUUUUAAGUAUCCAGACUUUGCUGCAGGCUGGGCCUUAAGUAUUCCACUUGUAAACAAGCUUACCAAGAGACUAAAGAGUGAAUCCUUGAAAUCCGACUUUACAAUAGAUUUAAAACAUGAGAUUGCCCUCUACAUCUGGGAUAAAGGCGGAGGACCUCCCCUGACCCCAGUGCCUGAGUUUUGUACCGAUGACGUGGACUUCUACUGUGCUACCACAUUCCAUUCUUUUCUACCGCUUUGUGGAAAGCCAGUGAAGAAGAAGGAUAUUUUUGUUGCAGUAAAAACAUGCAAGAAAUUUCAUGGUGACAGAAUUAAUUGAGAAGAAAUACCCGUGCUCUUUAGUAAACCUAUUAGAGCGAAAAAGGACUGAAAGCCUAAAGGCUGAGGAAAUUGAAAGCAAAAUUUGCACAGCCUGCAGGACCCUUGCUGGGGACUGAGGAAAGUUCUUGACCUUUCCUCACAGCUUCCUUCAGCAUUAUGCAAUGGAGGAUAUUUUACCCAACAGUGUGAACUUUUAGUGGCUGCAGGGAGCCCUUUCUGGGUACCUAUUGUUAAGCAGACUUGGGAAAGCCAGGCAAGUCUCAUUGAAUACUAUAGUGACUAUACUGAAAAUUCCAUUCCUACUGUGGAUUUGGGAAUUCCUAAUACAG